rnacentral:rRNA from 1 species
UACGUAGGUGGCGAGCGUUGUCCGGAUUUACUGGGCGUAAAGAGCGCGCAGGCGGUCGUUCAAGUCGCGUGUGAAAGCCCCCGGCUCAACUGGGGAGGGUCACUCGAUACUGAUCGACUCGAAGGCAGGAGAGGGAAGCGGAAUUCCCGGUGUAGUGGUGAAAUGCGUAGAUAUCGGGAGGAACACCAGUGGCGAAGGCGGCUUCCUGGCCUGUUCUUGACGCUGAGGCGCGAAAGCUAGGGGAGCAAACGGG